UACGAAGGGGGCUAGCGUUGCUCGGAAUUACUGGGCGUAAAGCGCACGUAGGCGGAUUGUUAAGUCGGGGGUGAAAUCCUGGAGCUCAACUCCAGAACUGCCUUCGAUACUGGCGAUCUCGAGUUCGGGAGAGGUGAGUGGAACUGCGAGUGUAGAGGUGAAAUUCGUAGAUAUUCGCAAGAACACCAGUGGCGAAGGCGGCUCACUGGCCCGUUACUGACGCUGAGGCACGAAAGCGUGGGGAGCAAACAGG
rnacentral:rRNA from 1 species